AGAGUUUGAUCCUGGCUCAGGACGAACGCUGGCGGCGUGCCUAACACAUGCAAGUCGAACGGAGAAUUUCAAUAAGCUUGCUUAACGAAAUUUUUAGUGGCGGACGAGUAACGCGUGGGUAACCUACCCAUAAACCCGGGACAACCCUUGGAAACGAGGGCUAAUACCGGAUAAUCUUAGGGAGUGGCAUCACUCUUAAAGAAAAGGUGGCCUCUGUAUAUGCUACCGAUUAUGGAUGGACCCGCGUCUGAUUAGCUAGUUGGUGAGGUAACGGCUCACCAAGGCGACGAUCAGUAGCCGACCUGAGAGGGUGAUCGGCCACAUUGGAACUGAGACACGGUCCAAACUCCUACGGGAGGCAGCAGUGGGGAAUCUUCCGCAAUGGGCGAAAGCCUGACGCAGCGACGCCGCGUGAGUGAAGAAGGUCUUCGGAUUGUAAAGCUCUGUCUUAGGGGACGAAGAGAAUGACGGUACCCAAGGAGGAAGCCCCGGCUAACUACGUGCCAGCAGCCGCGGUAAUACGUAGGGGGCGAGCGUUGUCCGGAAUUACUGGGCGUAAAGGGCGAGUAGGCGGUUAUACAAGUCAGAUGUGAAAUACCAGGGCUUAACCCUGGAGCUGCAUUUGAAACUGUAAGACUUGAGUGCAGGAGAGGAAAGUGGAAUCCCCAGUGUAGCGGUGAAAUGCGUAGAUAUUGGGGGGAACACCAGUGGCGAAGGCGACUUUCUGGACUGUAACUGACGCUGAGGCGCGAAAGCGUGGGGAGCAAACAGGAUUAGAUACCCUGGUAGUCCACGCCGUAAACGAUGAGUGCUAGGUGUAGAGGGUAUCGACCCCUUCCGUGCCGAAGUAAACGCAUUAAGUUCUCCACCUGGGGAGUACGGUCGCAAGAUUGAAACUCAAAGGAAUUGACGGGGACCCGCACAAGCGGUGGAGUAUGUGGUUUAAUUCGAAGCAACGCGAAGAACCUUACCAGGACUUGACAUCCCUUGACAGCUGUGGAAACAUAGCUUCCCUUCGGGACAGAUAGACAGGUGGUGCAUGGUUGUCGUCAGCUCGUGUCGUGAGAUGUUGGGUUAAGUCCCGCAACGAGCGCAACCCCUAUCUCUAGUUACCAGCAUUAAGUUGAGGACUCUAAGCAGACUGCCGGUGACAAACCGGAGGAAGGUGGGGAUGACGUCAAAUCAUCAUGCCCCUUAUGACUUGGGCUACACACGUACUACAAUGGCCAGAACAGAGGGAAGCAAAACUGUGAAGUUAAGCAAAUCCCUAAAAGCCGGUCUCAGUUCGGAUUGUAGGCUGCAACUCGCCUACAUGAAGUCGGAAUCGCUAGUAAUCGCAGGUCAGCAUACUGCGGUGAAUACGUUCCCGGGCCUUGUACACACCGCCCGUCACACCACGAAAGUCUGCAACACCCGAAGCCGGUGAGGUAACCCGAAAGGGAGCUAGCCGUCGAAGGUGGGGCCGAUGAUUGGGGUGAAGUCGUAACAAGGUAACC
rnacentral:rRNA from 1 species